rnacentral:tRNA from 1 species
GGUCAUGUGGCCUAGUGGUCAUGGGAUCUGCCCGGUAAGCGGAAGGUCGUGGGUUCGAUUCCCCUUGACACUU